rnacentral:rRNA from 1 species
CAGUAGCCGCGGGAAUACGGAAGGUCCAGGCGUUAUCCGGAUUUAUUGGGUUCAAAGGGAGCGUAGGCCGGAGAUUAAGUGUGUUGUGAAAUGUAGACGCUCAACGUCUGACUUGCAGCGCAUACUGGUUUCCUUGAGUACGCACAACGUUGGCGGAAUUCGUCGUGUAGCGGUGAAAUGCUUAGAUAUGACGAAGAACUCCGAUUGCGAAGGCAGCUGACGGGAGCGCAACUGACGCUUAAGCUCGAAGGUGCGGGUAUCAAACAGGAUUAGAUACCCCUGUAGUCCCUGUCUCUUAUAC